CAGGGAGACAAACAACGAUUUUGAUGUCUGAGUUUUUUUAUUCUUAGGCCAAAAUCCUGUCACCUUAGGUCGAUCGGUACCUCAACUUUGAAGCUAAGAGUAUUCAGCAAUGGAUAUCUGCUUAGUGGAGAUUUUUAGUUCCUAAACUUUGUCUAGUUCACAACCCAUUAGGGAUGAGACUCCUGGGCCAUUAGCUCAGGUGGUUAGAGCGCACCCCUGAUAAGGGUGAGGUCCCUGGUUCAAGUCCAGGAUGGCCCAUUCGGUGUAGGGGGUUUAGCUCAGUUGGUAGAGCGCCUGCUUUGCAAGCAGGAUGUCAGGAGUUCGAGUCUCCUAACCUCCACUGACUACCAAAAUCCCCAUCUCCAAAACCUGGAGUAUGAACUCGUAUGGAUUGUGAUUUAGAUGUGUCCGCUAGAUGACCCUAGCUUCUUGUCAUUUUAAGGCAUGGAAAAGAUUCCAUGAUAUUUAAUUGAUAGGAU
rnacentral:tRNA from 1 species